UUAUCUAUACAAAGUAAGUCAAACAUAAGUAAGGGUUUUGACAAGUAAAAGGGAGUAUUUGCAGUAUAGAUACUCCUUCAACGAAUAUCUAUACUGAAAACUGCAAAUACUCCGUUGUGCAGGUUGAAGGAGUUCACACAUGUAUGUAUAUAAUUUUGACAAGUUAAAGUUGUCAUAUCGAACCACGUAAAAGUCCUCUUAACAAUACUGGAAAUAUAUAUUAAUCAAAUAAUCUUCUAUGCUUACAAAACUUAUAAAGUAAAAGAUCAUAAAUGUUUUUUAAUAUAAACUUCACUAAAAAUACGAACUCCUCUUAACUAUACUGGAAAAAUAUAUAUAUCAGAUAGUCUUCUAAGCUUACAAAAUUUAAGACGUAAAAGAUUAAAAAAAAAAAAAAAAAAAAAAAAAAAAAAAAAAAAAAAAAAAAA
rnacentral:lncRNA from 1 species